CCAAUGGGUGCCCUGGGCUGGCCAGGAUGCAGUCCAUGGAUGUAGAAGACCCAAGGCCCUAAUUGCAGCACUGUAGCUUCUACCUGGUCUUCCCCACGUCCUCCUCUCUUUUAGGUGCGAGGAACUGGAAGGCAGAACUCGCAAUUCAGGAAAGCACACGAGUGUGUGUGUGUGUGUGUGGGUGUGUGUUACUGAAGAUUGCAUCCCAGGCCUUGCACAUACUAGGCAAACAUUCUACCACUGAGUUGGGUUAUAUUCCCAGGCCUUUUUUAUUUUUUAUUUUGGACAGGGUCUCACUAAGUCACUAAGUUGCCCAGGUUGGGCUUGAACUUUGAUCCUCCCUCCUGCCUCAGUCUCCACAAUCUUUGAGAUUACAGCUGUGUUCCACUGGGCCUGGCUCAGGAACCUGCAGAGGGGCCAGUACUAUGUGCCAUGUCACGGCAGCCCUGGAGUGGAGCCUCCUCCCAAGCCACAACUGCCCACCCGCCCAUCCUUGGAGCAAUGAGAUUCCCAAGUAGGCGGAGCCCAGGUGAGGUAUGUGAGGGGGAGCAGGAUCCUGCUGUCCAGGAACAUCUGGAGCAUCCCCAGGUGUGUUUAUGUAAAUACGGAAGCAACACCUG
rnacentral:lncRNA from 1 species